GAGCCGGUAGCUCAGCUGGUAGAGCAACGGACUUUUAAUCCGUAGGUCCUGGGUUCGAGCCCCAGCCGGCUCA
rnacentral:tRNA from 1 species